rnacentral:lncRNA from 1 species
ACAGGUAAAUGUAUAAAUAAAAGUAGAUGGAAUCAUCAUUUGCUUAUACAUAUAUUAUAACUUUGUUUGUAGACAUCAUUACAUAUAUUUAGCUUUUGAAGGUUAUGUAUAUGCUACAACACGAGACAAACACACACAACAUCUAUCUAUCUACGGAAGCAAAAAAUGGUACUUACAAGAUGGGCAAGCACUUCACAAUCACUCCCAGUAUGGUACUUGUGAAACUUCAGUCUUUCACUCUGCUCUUGGGAACGCAUUGAUGCUCCUUAGAGCCUGUUUCACACCCAUCCUAGCAGCUUCCCUCAAAUACCAAUACUUGAAAAGCUAAAAUUCAAAGAACAACAUCAUUUGAAUUACGGUGGUUACAUAAAAAAAAAGGAGAGAAACCCAUACGAGCAAUCAAAUGGAUAGAAAACACAUCAAUGAAGUUAAAAUUCAAAUACUAUUUUACAGCAUCUCUCUACUGAGUUUCAUAGGAAACAUUACAAAAUUGAUUCCUUUACUAAUCGAUUCAAUAAUCAAUUGGAUGAUUUUCGAUUUCUCUACACCAAUCAACACAAAUAUAUAUACUUUUUGAAGAUUUUUACUCCGAAGCAGUAUGUGAGAUCAUUGAGAGUGAGAAGACUAAUCUUUCUCUAUCAAACUUCACAAGGGUGAGACAAUUCAUAUAAACAAAAAAACACAAAACUUUCAGCAUCAAAUGGUUGGACCAGAAACAGAGGAUAACAGAGUUGAGUAACCAAUUACUAUCUUCUUCGUUCUCAUGAGCUAACUGAGAGAGAAAAAUCAAAACCUCUUUGAGAAGAAUGGAUUCAGGAAACGGGCCGUGGCUUCGUCAGGUCUCGAGGAGAAGCUGUGGCUGUCGUCUUUCUUGCUUUUCUUCUUCUUAGACGAAGACGCGUGGAGGAGUGACUCCAUUUUGAAGGAAGCAUGAGAGAAGUGAGAUGGAGAAGAAGAAGCUACAGGGAAAGGGAAGAAGAGGAGACCGUCUCUUG